rnacentral:rRNA from 1 species
GACGAACGCUGGCGGCGUGCCUAAUACAUGCAAGUAGAACGCUGAAGGAGGAGCUUGCUCUUCUGGAUGAGUUGCGAACGGGUGAGUAACGCGUAGGUAACCUGCCUGGUAGCGGGGGAUAACUAUUGGAAACGAUAGCUAAUACCGCAUAAGAGUAGAUGUUGCAUGACAUUUACUUAAAAGGUGCAAUUGCAUCACUACCAGAUGGACCUGCGUUGUAUUAGCUAGUUGGUGGGGUAACGGCUUACCAAGGCGACGAUACAUAGCCGACCUGAGAGGGUGAUCGGCCACACUGGGACUGAGACAUGGCCCAGACUCCUACGGGAGGCAGCAGUAGGGAAUCUUCGGCAAUGGACGGAAGUCUGACCGAGCAACGCCGCGUGAGUGAAGAAGGUUUUCGGAUCGUAAAGCUCUGUUGUAAGAGAAGAACGAGUGUGAGAGUGGAAAGUUCACACUGUGACGGUAUCUUACCAGAAAGGGACGGCUAACUACGUG